CGCGUAGGCGGACUCUUAAGUCGGGGGUGAAAGCCCAGGGCUCAACCCUGGAAUAGCCUUCGAUACUGAGAGUCUUGAGUUCGGAAGAGGUUGGUGGAAUUGCGAGUGUAGAGGUGAAAUUCGUAGAUAUUCGCAAGAACACCAGUGGCGAAGGCGGCCAACUGGUCCGAUACUGACGCUGAGGCGCGAAAGCGUGGGGAGCAAACA
rnacentral:rRNA from 1 species